rnacentral:rRNA from 1 species
UACGUAGGGGGCAAGCGUUGUCCGGAUUCAUUGGGCGUAAAGAGCUCGUAGGCGGUUCAGUAAGUCGGGUGUGAAAUCUCCGUGCUCAACACGGAGCGGCCACCUGAUACUGCUGUGACUCGAGUCCGGUAGGGGAGUGUGGAAUUCCCGGUGUAGCGGUGAAAUGCGUAGAGAUCCGGAGGAACCCCAGAGGCGAAGGCGGCGUCCUGGCUCACAACUGACGCUCAGACACGACAGCAUGGGGAGCGAACGGG